CCUACGGGAGGCAGCAGUGAGGAAUAUUGGUCAAUGGGCGCGAGCCUGAACCAGCCAAGUCGCGUGAGGGAUGACGGUCCUACGGAUUGUAAACCUCUUUUGCCGGGGAGCAAGCGUGCGUUCGUGAACGCGCGUCGAGAGUACCCGGAGAAAAAGCAUCGGCUAACUCCGUGCCAGCAGCCGCGGUAAUACGGAGUAUGCGGGCGUUAAUCGGAAUUACUGGGCGUAAAGUGUGUGCGGGCGGCUGCGUAAGACAGAUGUGAAAUCCCCGGGCUUAACCUGGGAACCGCAUAUGUGACGGCUUGGCUAGAGUGCGUCAGAGGGAGGUGGAAUUCCACGUGUAGCAGUGAAAUGCGUAGAUAUGUGGAAGAACACCGAUGGCGAAGGCAGCCUCCUGGGACGCAACUGACGCUCAUACACGAAAGCGUGGGGAGCAAACAGGAUUAGAUACCCGUGUAGUC
rnacentral:rRNA from 1 species